UUUGGAGAUCUGAGGAAAUGAUCUGGACAAUUUUAAGACAGAAAUCCUGAUAUUUAGCUAGCAGUUAUUUUAGGUGUAAAUAAUCAAUGAUGUUAAGUAGAUUCAAUUAAAUAAUUGUUCAAAUGUAUUUUGCUUCCUUAGACAAAGGGUAGACAUAAACUAUACCACGUGGCAUAGUCUUUUUUGUUCAAAAAGGUAGUCAGUCUGUCUUUGAAAGAUCAACUUGACCUAAAAUUGUAAUUCAGUGUAUCUUCAUAUAAAAUUAUUAAAUUUUUAUCUGCAGAAUUAUUUUCAACAGCAUUGAUUGCAAUAGUUUUGCGAUUAUGCUUUCCUUUAGAUCAUAAGCCAAUGACUUCUUCCGUCUUACUUUAUGCAUAAUAGAAUUGUUAUAAGAGAAUUAAACCUGAGAGUACUUCCAUUAUUGGAAGAAUUUCUCCUGUCAGCUUUUUGUCAACUGCUUAUAAAACUGUAGAAGAAAAAUUAUUCUUCAAUAUACGGUUUUCAUUAUGCAUUAGAUGCCUUUAAUAUUCCUAAGUGCCAUAAUUUCACAUAUGCCGUGUGUCACCUGGUGUAUGUAAACAUGAAAUUACUUGGAGAUUAUUGCAUAGUUAUAUCAAAAUGCUGAGCAGAAAAAAAAAUGACAUCCAAUAUUCACCCAGGGUUUAGACAAUACAUUUUUGUUUGAUGUGAAAGCAUUCAUAAUUUCAUCACAGAAGAGCAUUUUUCAAUGGUGCUCCCAGAUUGCCUGUAAAAGAUAAUUCCUCCCUUGUGGACAGGCUUCUAUCUCAUGCCCUCCGCGUGCCGCUGGUUUAUCUGUGCAGAGAGGGACACCCAAAGGGGGACAGUGAGCCCACUGUGUCUUUUAGAACCCAAAGCGAGUUACUGCAAACCUCAGGCAAUUGAAGUGAAUAUUGGCUAGCUCAAAAGGCUGUGAAGAUGACCACCGUAUCUAUCUGAGUAAUUUUUUUCUUCUGUCUCAGUCUUGAAAUCAGGCAUGGUUAUUUUUAUUUUCGGUGUAUGCAGGCUUAACCUAUGUGCUUAUAUUCACAAUGAACUCUUGAAUCGGAUCCUCUGUGUUUUGCUGGGGAGUAUUCAUUCCCCACUUGACCUGCUUUGUUGCUCAAAACUUUGUAGCUCAUCUUUGCCUUCCCGUCUGUUUAUUCUUGGUGUGGGGUUGUCAAGGAGAAAUGUUGGAAGGGAGAGAAGGGAGCAGGCAUCAUAGAUGGUAUUACAGGCGGCUGGUCUCUCCUCUCUCAGCCAACUAUGAGAACUAUUUGGGAUUGAAGGAGAUAAGCUACAGCAAGUCGUUACUUGUCCUGAAUGCACGACCUUCUUUCUUUGAGCAAGAGGACAAACCUGGGUAGGGAUCUCUAUGAUGUUUUCUGCGUUGCCCGUGGACGUUCAUCUUUCUGAUUUGUUAGCUGAAGAUGAGGAUCUGGAGCAGGAGCUCGGAGUGCCAUUGUUCCAUGGGCAGAUGUGCAGCAGAGAUUGCCACGCACCCAGUAAGGGGAAGUGAGGCAGACUGGCUGUGAACCUGGGGAUGCCACCAAAACCAGAGCAUUAGGAAGACAAGCAGGGCCUUCAGUAGGCAUAAGGUGAUGAGGUUCAUGCCGUUGGAUCCCACGGGUGCCCUGGGGAAGAGAUGGUUGGGAAGUCUGAGAGGAAGCAGGAGAGCUUUCGGAGCACAUGGAUGCCGUCCAGAAUGGAGAUGGUUGUGGCUCGGAAGAAAAAGAAAUCACCCAGCUCGGAGUCAGGAUACAUUUGGAGGUCCAGGCCGCCGAGUUUGCUGGUGGGGAAGAUAGGCACCAGAAAGGAAAGAGGACAUCCAGGGCAAUUUCUUCUGCCCCCCAGCCAAUCCGUACAUUGUCCAGAGGCCAAGCCUACUGCUGUUAGAAAACAUAUUUAGAAAUCACUUGGUUCUUCCUUGCCUGAACAUCAUCUAUUUAGUUAGCUUGUGUUGUUUAGAUGUGCUUCAGAUCUCAAAAAAAUAAAUUAUGUUAUUUGAAA
rnacentral:lncRNA from 1 species